AAGACAUCAGCAAUCAUUUGCUCAGUAGGACAAUAUUCCAAAAUAAACUUUCCAUUGUUCACAUUUUCCCUAAUAAAAUGAUACUUGAUGUCAAUGUGCUUGCACCGUUGUCUAUUGACUGGAUUUUUGGCUAGUGCUAUGGCACCUUGGUUGUCUUCAUACACCUUUGUUUGUGCGUAUUGGUAUGUGUCUACACCCCUGAGUAGCUGUUCUAAGUAGAUGCAUUCCUGUAUGGCUGAUGCUAAGGACAUGUACUCAGCCUCACAAGUGGAUAAAGCUACUGUCGGUUGUUUUCUUGUUUUCCAGGAUAUCAAAGAGCUUUCCUCAUUUAGACUGACACAAUAUCCUGAUGUACUACGCCUAUCCGCUGGAUCUGAUGCCCAGUCAGCAUCACUGUAGACUCUUAGGCCUAGUUUUUCUGUGUCAUUUCUCCUGAAACAUAAUCCCUGUUCUGUUGUACCUUUGAGGUACCUGAACACCUGUUUUAAUGUGUUCCAGUGUUCUACUGUUGGUUCAGCAAAGUGCUGGGAGAGUUUACUGACCACAAAAGUUAUGUCUGGUCGGGUACAUGUGGACAAGUAAAUUAAACUUCCUACUGCCUCCCUGUACUUUCUUGGGUCUUUCAUUUUUUCUGCAGCUUCUGUGUAUUCAAGUUUUGGUUCACAUGGAGUUUCUCUAGAAUUUUGCUCACAUAUCUCUCCUGUGACAUUUUGACUACACCAUCUGUUUGUUCGAAAUCUAUGCCCAAGAAAUAUCUCAGCUUUCCCAAGUCUUUCAUUUUGAACCUUUCAGUGAGCAUUCCCUUUACAUGUUUCAGAACAUUCUCAUUGCUAGCUGCUAUGAUCAGAUCAUCAACCCAUAUGAUUAGGAUUACUUUCUCGUUGUGCUUUUCUUUCGUAUACACACAGGUAUCAGCUGGGUUCUGUACAAAAUCAUUCUCAAUUAAACAUGUAUGCAACAUAGCAUUCCAAUUCCUCCCUGACUGUUUUAGACCAUAGAGAGAUUUUUGUAAUUUACACACUAGUUUUUCGCCUGUUUCAGACUUUUUCUCAUAACCCUCAGGUUGCUCCAUAUAAAUCUCACGAUCAAUUGGGGCAUGCAAAUAAGCUGUUUUAACGUCCAUCUGGUGUAGG
ensembl:lncRNA